UCACCUACCCGAUGAGCCUGCAACCUUGGAGAGCCCAGUGCCCACCUUCCCCAGACCCUCCCACUACCAGCCCCCUCACUACUACCUGCAAAGAAGCAGCUGAAAGUUGCUGGGACCGAGGCUCCCGGCUGUGCAGACUGGGGAUCAGUGGGCAAGGCAGCUGAAUGGAUGAGCCUGGGUUUCUGGGCUGAGAUGCUGGAAAUAGGGAUAGGAAAGUCAUCAGCUUACGGGUGGGAAUUAAAGCUGUGAGGACUGGGAGUCAGAGGGAUCCCAGGAUGGUCAGGAGGGGGGAAGGUAGGGGAGGACCCUGCCCCCAGGGGCCCCCACCUCUAGCCCAGGAAGGAUGACAGGUGACGCUGGGGAGUUGCAGUACGUGCAGAAAGAGUUCUGAAACUUGCCUUCUCCUUUCUUUCUCCUGCAGGCUUGUGGGCUCUCCUGGCAGUGGACCUCUUGCCGCAGUGAACUCGGCCACUGAGACCCCGCAGCAGUGGACCUUGCUCACCCUCCAUUUGCCAUCUUACCCCUGACGCCUGCCUCACCUGCUCCACAUGCUGGGUGUGGAGGCCAGCUGCCUGCCUGCAUCGCUCCCUGCAAGUGCCCUUUCAGAGGCCAGCCUGCUGCCCCCUCCUGCAAGCCCCUCUGCCCUUCUGGAGCAUUCCUCUGUCUGGCUGUCUCUGUCCCACUGGCCGACUGGUCCCCUCCCAGCAUCUUCAGUCCUGCCUUCCUCUCCAAUGGAGCUCUGUCCUCUCACCAUCUGCCAGGCCCCUCAGGGGACAAAGGCCCACCCACGUUUGUCCUCUGCCCCCUUCUUCCCUACCCAGACCUGCCCUGUCUUGUCCUUCCAGCUCCCUCCUGUGUCCUGGGAGGCCCCAGAGUCUAGUUCUCACUUGUUUCUCUGCCCGCCAGUCAGAACUUACCACCACGUGGUCUGUCUUCACUGCCCUGAAACUGACCUGGGUUUAGAGAGCUUCUCUCCUCCGCGCUCAGCCAGCCUUUCCCCAGGGCAAUUGCUGUCUUGGAAUAUAGGCUGCUCGGAUGAGCACACCGAAAUGACAGGAAAACAGACUCCUGCACUCACUUCAGGAACAACGGCUAAUAUUCGUGGAGUUCUGGGCACUCUCCAGGCUGUGUGUGUUUCCAGGGCUUGGCUUGUAUUCCCUGACUUCAUUUCCAUGGUGUCCUGUUGGGGUAGUGUUUUAAUGAGGCCUUUCUGCAGACCGGGAAGCUGGGCCUCAGAACUGUUAAAUAUCGUAACCAUGAGGUUAGGCAAUAGACCACGUCCAUGACUCUACUCAGGACGUUUGUCAAUUGACCUCAGAGAAUUGUGGGACUCAAGAGGAGAUGACCUUCAAGAGUGUAAACUGUCAGCUACCCAGAUGUUGAUGAGUCCUUUUCAGCUUCAACAGCACAGACAGAGGAGCCAUUUGUGCUGAGUUUUGAGAUGGGCAAUUUUAUAUGUUGGGAAGUGGAUAUUAUCAUUCUUAUUGGAGGGAGUGGGGACACAGAAAGGGAAAAUGCUUUACCUGAGA
rnacentral:lncRNA from 1 species